AACUUCACCUGGUCUCUGAGAAAUCACAGAAACUCUUCAGUGGAUGAAGAUGAAGAGGACACUCGCUCUGCUCCUAAUCAUGGAGCUCUAUGGACUCUCCUCCGGUAUCAAACAGCAUUUCUUUCUGAAUCAGCAGAAGAGAUGGUGUGGUGCACAACAGCACUGCAAAACUUAUUAUCAUGCCCUCUCCACCUUCAUCAAUGCGAGUGAGGAACAGCAGUUUUUAGCCACUGCAGCUAAUCAGCUUUAUAAUGCUUGGGUUGGACUCUACAAAAAGCCUGGAACAACAGCCUGGAUGUGGUCAGGAGAUAUAGCAGCCAACCAGAUUAGCUGGGAUACUCAAAAUAAUCAACCAACUAACAUUGACAGUGAAAACUGUGUCUUUCUAUAUGCAGGCCGUAAUAAAUUGCACGAUGAAAAAUGUUAUAUUACACAAUGCUUCUUCUGCAUGACAAACUUUGCUGUGGUGCCUCAGACAGAGACCUGGGACGGAGCUCUGGAAUACUGCAGGACACAUUAUAAUGAACUGGCAAGUCUGAGCACAAUGGAAAGGAUGAACUCAGCUUUAAUGGAAAUCUCACAGGCUGAAACCGAAAAUGUGUGGAUUGGUCUGCGAUAUCUAGUAGGGGACUGGUUCUGGGUCAAUGGAGAUGAUGUUGACUACACAACUUGGUAUCAGAACGAACAGCCCCAGUGUCCCGCCAGAGACCUUCGCUGUGGAGCCCUGGGAAAGCAAACAAUGAUUUGGACAAACAGAAACUGUCAGGAGAAGCUCAGCUUUUUUUGUCAGUAAUAGCUGGGUGACCAGCAGAGUGGACUGGUUCACGAAAGCAUUUCCUUCUACUCUGCACUCACUGGAAAGAAGCAUUGGUCUGGGUUUACUGCAUAAAGCAGAUUGUCUGACUGCAUACAACCUAAUACAAAGAAGAAAACUGUGCCAAUGUUAGGAUAAAGGUACUAUAAGUUUUUUUCCCCCCUGUUAGUGGUAGUUGAGUUUAUAGGAGCUGGAUACUUUAUGUCAAAUUAUGUUAAAUAGGUCAUUUAAAUGCAACCCCCAGAUGCAUUGAUUAUUAUUAUUAAAACAAAGUACAAUUUUCGAAUAAUUUUUAUUGCUACUUUUGAAUAAAAUGUAAUUAUGCAUCUUUUUACCUCACACAGUGAUGUUUUUGAGAGUGUUUCUGUCCACUGUACUAUUUUGUGUUGCAAUUUAUAACGUAUAAUGUAUAAAUGUAAUAUGCCAA